ACGAUCAAAAACCGUGACCAAGCAACUUCGAAUGAAAAUUGAUAGUAGGCGCAAAUUUAUUUGGUUGAAUUUGAGAGGUUUCUCGUGAAAUUUAGUUCUAUUUCAUGCUUAAUUCUUAAAAGGUAGUUGAAUUCAAUAAGUGAAGUCUAGCAUUGAAAUGUGUGAUACAUGCAGAUACGUAGUUUCUUAAUCUAAUAGUACGGACUAUAUACAAAUAUCUAAGCUGAAGCAUAUAUUGGAUUCUGAACGGUGCUGAUAAACUAUAAAUAUUACAGUAAUCCCCAUAUCUAAGACCUAUCGAGGCGUGGUAUGAUCCUUGAUGUCGAAGGUCACCAAAAUU